UACGAAGGGGGCUAGCGUUGUUCGGAAUCACUGGGCGUAAAGCGCGCGCAGGCGGUCUUCCAAGUCAGUGGUGAAAGCCCGGAGCUCAACUCCGGAACUGCCAUUGAAACUGUGAGACUUGAGUACGAGAGAGGUGAGUGGAAUUCCCAGUGUAGAGGUGAAAUUCGUAGAUAUUGGGAAGAACACCGGUGGCGAAGGCGGCUCACUGGCUCGUAACUGACGCUCAGGCGCGACAGCGUGGGGAUCAAACAGG
rnacentral:rRNA from 1 species